ACGACCUAGAAAUCGCCGCCAGGGCUAGGCUGGUGUUUGUCCUAAGUGGGUACUUGCUUGGGUUGAGAAAUCACAUUUUGGCUAUUCCCCGACUUGAACCAGGGGAUAGAAAUCGUAGUCACCGGCUGGGCGCAGCGGCUCAUGCUGUAAUCCUGGCAGUUUGGGAGGCCGAGGCGGGCAGAUUAUUGAGGUUAGGAGUUCGAGACCAGCCUGGUCAAUAUGAUGAAACACCGCCUCUAGUAAAAAUACAAAAAUUAUCCGGGCGUGGUGGCGAGCGCCUGUAAUCCCAGCUACUCAGGAGGCUGAGGCAGUAGAAUCCCUUGAACCUGGGGUGCGGAGGUUGCAGUGAGCCAAGAUCGCGCCACUGCACUCCAGGCUGGGCGACACGGCGAGACUCUGUCUCAAAACAAAACAAAAGGAAAAGAAGAGAAAAGAAAAAGAAACGCAGGCACCCUGAAAUCGAAACUUGUUAGGACCAACAAGCCAACGACAGACGAAUCUGCGGGGUCCUGCGACAGACACGCCAGCCCCGCCGCCACAGCACAGGGUUCUGGAGGUCGAGCUGUUCUGCGGGUUCUGCGGCGGCGCUGGGAAGAGACGGCGCCCGGGCAGCUCCCCUGUCACCGGCUUGGAGGAGCGGCGGGCUCCCCUAGCCCAGCGCCGCCGCCGCCGCCCGGGAACGCCAGGCUCACCCCAGCUGGGGAAGCUCCGAAUCCCUCAGAUCGGCGACCUGAGUGCUGUCGCCCCGAGAAAAUGGAGGCAUCGAGCAACGAGCUGUGCUGAGACCGAGAGACCUCAGUUCUGCGAAAUGUCGGUGCCUGGAGCUUGCGAAUGACUGCGGCCGGCGGGUUGUCAAGGACAACAUUCCUUAUGGCGCAACCAACAGCGCUGUCACCAAGAAACUGGACUCUGAGAAAAAAGAGGGUUUCGGCCACCGAGAAACUCCGUGCCACAUGUGCCGUGACAGCAAAACCGCCCGCUCCGCGCCGCUGGUGAAAGAGCUAACGAACGCCAGGUGCUGCGACAGUGACACCGGGACUAGAAGGCCUCGGAUGGAGAAUGGGACGCCCAGAGCAAGCAGGAAAACGUUUUGUUUGGCUCAACUAGCGCUGUCGCAACCGGAAAACUGUCAGGCCAGUGCUGCUGCGGAUGUGAGAAACCGGUGAUCCGAAGGCGGAGUGGCGCUGGGCGCUGGACUCGCUGGUGUGAAAAUCUGGCUGCUCUAGGACCCGGCAAGCGCGGGCACCAGGCGAACGCCAGCGACUUUGCCAGACAAAUGCAUGUCUUUUUUGGUCGCCAUUCAAAGAUGCAGCCGGCAGUCAGCCCCGGCUCUGAGAAACAAGUGGAGGUGUCAGCCAUAAACCCUCCGUUCAGGGAAAAGAGAGUCGCUGCGACGGAUCGACUGGCCGUUGGGUGGAACUUUCUUUGGUGGCCUAGUGACUAGAAAAUAAAAACGAAAACGAAAUAAAAAACUGCUACUGACAUUACUCCCACGCUCCCUCCUCAAGUCAGUGGCUUCAGGCUUAAGAAAACCUGUAUUUUUCUUGGCUGAUCCGUGAUCCCUAAUUACUGAGGGCCCCGCGACCCACCAAGUGCGAUUCGCAGAGGGAAAGGAGCUGGAAUAAGGAUCCAGAAUGGGACGGAUUUGGCUCCUCCAGGAAGAAAGCAAAACAAAUGCAGGUCGCGAACACUUUACAUUGCAGGAAGCUGCUCUUCCAGUGGCCGCGGCUGGGUCCUUCCACACCACCUCUCUGUCCUAGGCCUUCGUCCCGGUUCAGCCCUCACGGAUUCUAGGCUAGCGGUCAACAACCGCAUCCCUCCGGAACCUGGAAACUCUAGGUCCGAGAUCUCGGUGAAGAAUGAAAGGCACAGCGCCGCUCAACCCAGGCUUCAGGCCUGCCCCGCUGGUCCCGUCCCUUCCCUGUGGGAUGGAACUCUGUGGGAAUCGCUCCUUAUUCUGAUGGUUCACUCAUUCAGAUGUCCUUGAUAUUUGGGGAUAUUUCUAAAACAGCUGGGGAGAAAAAUGGACUGCGAGGCUCCGGUGUUGGACGUGAAAUUGGCAGUGAGACAUCCGCCUCUAAGCCCAGGGAAAAGCUUAAAUUGUGGUUCUCUGUCUCUAGCACCGUGAUCUUUGAAAUGCGUUAUUGAUUUUCUUCUUUCUUCUGGGAAAUGCAAUGCAGGUGAACUUGUAAGUGUUGAAUCCUCCCUCUCCUCACUGUUCAAUCAGACUGAGGCCUACUUCCUUUCUGAUAAGAAAUAUGGAACUGCCAUUGCUCAGUAGGAAAAUGUCCUUUCUACAAGCAUUCAUAUUUCAAUAAAAAUCUGCACUUUGUGAGUUGAGCCCCCUCAAAGAGACCUACAGACCCUGCCAUGAGCAUCUCCAUCCACACUCAUCAUUUCCCAUUUUCACCACUUCUGCUCCUGUGCAAACCAGUACUAUCCUUUUCUGGGGGAUCCUAGGCAGAAGCGAUGGCAGGACAAAGGCAGAGAAGGCACUGCCAGGUCCUGCAUGCCAGUAAAACUACUCAUGUCAGCUGUUCUGCAGGAUCCCAUGAGAAGGUGAGUCACCAGAAAAUGCAGUUUCCACAUCCUGAUGAUUUCAUCUCCCUACCCCAACUGAUCAAUUUCUCCAAUUUUCCAGCCUCUCACCCUCCACAAUCCCCUUAAAAACUGUAGCCCAGAACUCUCUGGAAUGAUGAAUUUGAAGGUUUGCUCCUGUCUCCUCACUCAGAAGCCUGUAAUCAUUAAACUCUUUCUCUGAUGCAAACUCUGCUGUCUCAGUGUAAUUGGUAUGUAAGUGUGCAGCAGGCAUAUGAAUCUGUUGGUCCUGUAACAGUUGGGAUGCAGUGGCACAAUUGUAGCUCACUGUAAUCUCUACCUCCUACACCUAAGGGAACCUUACCACCUCAGCACUCGGAAUAGCUAGGACUUUAGGUCUGUGUGCUACCACCCAUGGCUAAUUUAUAAAAUAAUUUCUUUGUAGAGACAGGAUCUUUCUAUAUAGCCUGGGCUGGUCUCAAACUCCUGGCCUCAAGGUAUCCUCCCCACUCUGCAUCACAAAGAGCUGUCAUUACAUGUGUGAGAUACCAUACCCUGCCCAUGGUAGAAUAUUAACACAUGGGUGUGAAAUGUUGGCUUCAGUCUGGCAUGUUAUUACUUUAUUAACAGUAAAGAAUAAUAUCUGAUCAUGAAAUUGUUUUUUUUUGUAAAUAGAAUAUUUUCUAUUUACAUUGAUGCUUUUGUAAAUAGAAUAUUUGACUCUGAUGAAGACAUAUUAUAAUUUCACUAUGGAUAUGACCUGAAAUGGAAAAAAUUGACUUACAGAAAAAAUACACCAAAGAAGUCACCAUUUUAUAUUUGUUCUUAUUACAAUUAUCUUUCAAGCCAUAAAAAACAAAAAUUAGUGAUUUUAUUACCAACUGAGAAGAUUAUUUUCUGCCAAGCAAUCUCUAAACAUUAACUUUUACUAGGAAUGUAUUCAUGAAAGGGACUUUGUAAAAUAGGAGCAAAUUUGACCUCUUAUUUAAUCAUUCAGAGAUGAAAUAAAAUAUAAUACAUUAUUUGAAAAGAUAUCCAGGAAGCAGGAAGUACAGUCAGGGAUCCCAGGAAUGGGUGUGGUGAUGUCUGUUGCACCAGGGCUUAGAGGGCAGGAUCUUUCCUCUAGAAACUCUGUGUGUCAGGCAUGCCUAGACAAAAUACACUUAUAUUUGAUGUUUUAGCAUAUCAAAGAGGUAUUGCUUGGUUUAAAGAUGAGGCUCAGUGAGUUUACACCACAGUCCAAGAUCACAAAGGUAGUUCAUGCUGGAGCUGGAUUGAAGUCCCAGGUUAUCAGGCAUUCAUAUCAAGUAGGGAAAUGAGUAAAGAAAUAAUUAGGUUGGGUUUUGAAAAAGAAGAAUCCUAUGCCUUACAUAAAAUUGUACCUUAAAAAUUUUUUUGGCUGGGCGUGGUGGCUCUUGCCUGUAAUCCCAGCACUUUGGGAGGCCGAGGCAGGCGGAUUACAAGGUCAGGAGAUCGAGACCAUCCUGGCUAACACGGUGAAACCCCGUCUCUACUAAAAAUACAAAAAAUUAUCCGGUGCGGUGGUGGGCGCCUGUAGUCCCAGCUACUCCGGAGGCUGAGGCAGGAGAAUGGCGUGAACCCGGGAGGCGGAGUUUGCAGCGAGCGGAGAUCGCGCCAUUGCACUCCAGCCUGGGCGACAGACCGAGACUCCAUCUCAAAAAACAUAAAAAUAAAAAAAAGGGCAAAUAUGUUGAGCUAAUAUGAUGCUUUUUACAGUAUUUUUUUUCAAGACCCUUAUAUGUUAUGUGAUUAUAUGCAUUUUUUUAAGUUAUUCUCCUUCCUCUGUUAUUCCUACUUCCACUGCAAUUCCUCUCAUCAGUAACUACCAGUUUUAACAUUACAUUAUCCAAAAAAGAGGUGGAUGGAGUCUCGGCUGCAUAUGCUAAUGUUGCACCUUGGACGAGUGAUGUAAUGCCUUUUGCCAUUUUGCAUUUCCAAAUAUAUUCUCAAAUGUAUUCCUAACAGUGGUG
ensembl:lncRNA novel transcript